rnacentral:lncRNA from 1 species
CUCCAGUCUGGGCAACAGAGCGAGACUCCAUCUGAAAAACGUAAAAAUAAUAGUAUCUACCUCAUAGGGGUGCUGUGAGGAUUUAAUGAGAUACCAUAUUUUAAGGCACAUAGCAGUGCCUGGCGAGUAGGGCUAAGUCAGCGUUGGCUGCUGUUAUUUUCUCUGGAGGAUAAUAUUUGCCAGGGAGAGCAGUGGAAUCAGGCAGAACUGGACUGCAAUCCUGUUUUCCCCACACAUUAACAACUGUAUUCUUUUGGGCAAAACAAUCUCUCAGCAUCAGCUUCGUGGGUAAAGACAAAUUACUUCAUAAGAAUAAACUCAGGCCAGCCAAAGUGCCUGGGUGACAGAGCGAGACCCUGUCUCAAAACAAAACAAAACAAACAAACAAAAAAGAAGAAAUUCAGGCCGAGCGCAUUGGCUCAUACCUGUAGUCCCAGUACUUUGAGGAGCUGAGGCGGGGGAUCGCUUGAGCCCAG